rnacentral:rRNA from 1 species
CAGAUAUAGUCAUGCUCGCAGAGUGACUAGCUACUGAAAUCACACAAACACAAAUGGUGCUUAUUGUGAUAACGUAAGGGAAAAAAAUGAUAUCACCUUACUAAUAGUGUUGUCUAAAUAACUGGUGCCAGAAGACUCGGUAACACCAGAAACGCGAACGUUAGUCGUCUUAAACAGGCGUAAAGGGUAAGUAGGCUGCUUUAAACGUCUUUUUUUAAAAAAAGCUAAUUAAUAAUUUAACCUAAAAUUUUUCAGACCUUAAUUUAUAAAUUAAGGCUAACUAAUAAUGAAAAAAGGUAAUUAUUAGUUUUUCUAAUAAUUAUAAUUAUUAAAUUAAAAAAAUAGAUACACUUAAAGCUAGAAUCAUAAUUGAGAUAAACCAAAUAAUACUUAUGUGUAAGGGCGAUAUCUGAAAAUACUAAGUAGAAUACUAACGGUGAAAACUUUUUAUCUAGUAAUGAUUGACGCUGAGGUACGAAAGUGAGAACAGGGAAUAGGAUUAGAUACCCAGUUACCUCUCACCGUCAACGAUGAAUGGUAGUUGUUAGUUUAAUUAAAUUAGUGACGAUGUUAACGCGAUAACCAUUCCGCCUUGAGAGUACGGUUGCAAUACUGAAACCAAAAAAUAGUCGGUCUCGGAGCAAACGGAGUGAAGCAU